GUGCUCUAUUCUUCAGCACAUAUACUAAAAUUGGAACAAUACAGAGGAGAUUAGGAUGGCCUCUUCAAGAAAGACAUGCAAAUUCAUGAAGUGUUCCAUAUUUUU
ensembl:snRNA U6 U6 spliceosomal RNA